rnacentral:rRNA from 1 species
GACGAACGCUGGCGGCGUGCCUAACACAUGCAAGUUGAACGGAACUGUUUUGAAGGAUUUCUUCGGAAUGAAUUUGAUUUAGUUUAGUGGCGGACGGGUGAGUAACGCGUGAGUAACCUGCCUUCAAGAGGGGAAUAACAUUCUGAAAAGAAUGCUAAUACCGCAUGACAUAUCGGAACCACAUGGUUUUGAUCUCAAAGAUUUUAUCGCUUGAAGAUGGACUCGCGUCCGAUUAGUUAGUUGGUGAGGUAACGGCUCACCAAGACCGCGAUCGGUAGCCGGACUGUGAAAUUGAACGGCCACAUUGGGACUGAGACACGGCCCAGACUCCUACGGGAGGCAGCAGUGGGGGAUAUUGCGCAAUGGGGGCAACCCUGACGCAGCAACGCCGCGAGAAGGAUGAAGGUAUUCGGAUUGUAAACUUCUUUUAUUACGGACGAAAAAUGACGGUACUUAAUGAAUAAGCACCGGCUAACUACGUG